rnacentral:rRNA from 1 species
CAAGUCGAACGAAUCCCAGCUUUGUAGCAAUACCGAGUUGGGGGAAGUGGCGAAAGGGGCAGUAAUGCAUGGACAACCUACCCUGGGGACCGGGAUAGCCUUUCUAACGAAUGGGUAAUACCGGGCGAUGUGGUUGAGAGGCAUCUCUUGGCCAUGAGAUGAAUUUCGCCUCGGGAGGGGUUCAUGUCGUAUUAGCUUGUUGGCGGGGUAACGGCCCACCAAGGCGAAGAUGCGUAGCGGGUGUGAGAGCACGACCCGCGCCACUGGCACUGAGACACUGGCCAGACUCCUACGGGAGGCUGCAGUCGAGGAUCUUCGGCAAUGGGCGCAAGCCUGACCGAGCGACGCCGCGUGUGCGAUGAAGGCCUUCGGGUUGUAAAGCACUUUAGUGGGGGAGAAAAGCGCAAGCUUGAUCUAUCCCAAGAAUAAGCACGGGCUAAGUUCGUGCCAGCAGCCGCGGUAAGACGAACCGUGCGAACGUUGUUCGGAAUCACUGGGCUUAAAGGGCGCGUAGGCGGCUUGUCAAGUCCGGGGUGAAAGCCUCCAGCUCAACUGGAGAAGUGCCUUGGAUACUGACAAGCUCGAGCGAGGUAGGGGCGGGUGGAACUUCCGGUGGAGCGGUGAAAUGCGUUGAUAUCGGAAGGAACGCCGGUGGCGAAAAGCGACCCGCUGGACCUCUUCUGACGCUGAAGGCGCGAAAGCUAGGGUAGCGAACGGGAUUAGAUACCCCGGGUAGUCCCUAGCCCUAAACGAUGGGGUACUAGAU